UGCAAGUCGAGCGAACAGAAGGGAGCUUGCUCCCGGAUGUUAGCGGCGGACGGGUGAGUAACACGUGGGUAACCUGCCUGUAAGACUGGGAUAACUCCGGGAAACCGGAGCUAAUACCGGAUAGUUCCUUGAACCGCAUGGUUCAAGGAUGAAAGACGGUUUCGGCUGUCACUUACAGAUGGACCCGCGGCGCAUUAGCUAGUUGGUGGGGUAAUGGCUCACCAAGGCGACGAUGCGUAGCCGACCUGAGAGGGUGAUCGGCCACACUGGGACUGAGACACGGCCCAGACUCCUACGGGAGGCAGCAGUAGGGAAUCUUCCGCAAUGGACGAAAGUCUGACGGAGCAACGCCGCGUGAGUGAUGAAGGUUUUCGGAUCGUAAAGCUCUGUUGUUAGGGAAGAACAAGUGCGAGAGUAACUGCUCGCACCUUGACGGUACCUAACCAGAAAGCCACGGCUAACUACGUGCCAGCAGCCGCGGUAAUACGUAGGUGGCAAGCGUUGUCCGGAAUUAUUGGGCGUAAAGGGCUCGCAGGCGGUUUCUUAAGUCUGAUGUGAAAGCCCCCGGCUCAACCGGGGAGGGUCAUUGGAAACUGGGAAACUUGAGUGCAGAAGAGGAGAGUGGAAUUCCACGUGUAGCGGUGAAAUGCGUAGAGAUGUGGAGGAACACCAGUGGCGAAGGCGACUCUCUGGUCUGUAACUGACGCUGAGGAGCGAAAGCGUGGGGAGCGAACAGGAUUAGAUACCCUGGUAGUCCACGCCGUAACGAUGAGUGCUAAGUGUUA
rnacentral:rRNA from 1 species